UUCCGCCGGCGACCGGCGCACGGGUGAGUAACACGUAUGAAACCUGCCCGUAGCAGGGGGAUAAGCGGAAGAAAUUCCGUCUAAUACCGCGCAACAACCCGAGGAGGCAUCUCCUCGGGUUUAAAGGAAGCGAUUCCGGCUACGGAUGGUCAUGCGUCGCAUUAGCUAGUUGGCGGGGUAACGGCCCACCAAGGCGACGAUGCGUAGGGGUUCUGAGAGGAAGGUCCCCCACACUGGUACUGAGACACGGACCAGACUCCUACGGGAGGCAGCAG
rnacentral:rRNA from 1 species